CGCGUAGGCGGUUUCUUAAGUCAGAGGUGAAAACUGUGGGCUCAACUCGACAGCCUGCCUUUGAAACUGGGAGACUUGAGGGCAGGAGAGGGGAGUGGAAUUCCCAGUGUAGCGGUGAAAUGCGUAGAUAUUGGGAGGAACACCAGUGGCGAAGGCGGCUCUCUGGCCUGUUUCUGACGCUGAGGCGCGAAAGCGUGGGGAGCGAACG
rnacentral:rRNA from 1 species